AACGAACGCUGGCGGCAGGCCUAACACAUGCAAGUCGAGCGCACCUUCGGGUGAGCGGCGGACGGGUGAGUAACGCGUGGGAACGUGCCCUUCUCUGCGGAAUAGCCUCGGGAAACUGAGAGUAAUACCGCAUACGCCCUUCGGGGGAAAGAUUUAUCGGAGAAGGAUCGGCCCGCGUUGGAUUAGGUAGUUGGUGGGGUAAUGGCCUACCAAGCCGACGAUCCAUAGCUGGUUUGAGAGGAUGAUCAGCCACACUGGGACUGAGACACGGCCCAGACUCCUACGGGAGGCAGCAGUGGGGAAUCUUAGACAAUGGGGGAAACCCUGAUCUAGCCAUGCCGCGUGAGUGACGAAGGCCCUAGGGUCGUAAAGCUCUUUCAGCUGUGAAGAUAAUGACGGUAGCAGCAGAAGAAACCCCGGCUAACUCCGUGCCAGCAGCCGCCGCCGUAA
rnacentral:rRNA from 1 species